AGGUCCUGGGGCUGCCAUCUUUCACACCUGAAGCAUUACCUUGGGUUCCUUGACCUAUCUAACAAUAUCUUUUAUCAUCACAUGUUUAUUGAGGACAACUGUAAAUAAGAAAUAAACCAUAAAAAGAACUCAAAAUGCUUAACACCAAUAAAACCCCACAAAUAACCCAAUCACUAAAUAGACUAAGGAACGGAACACACACUACACAGAAGAAGAAAUAUAAUCGAUCAACAAAUAUAUGAAAAAAUAUUCAACAUCUCUAGCAAUUACUGAAAUGCAAACCAAAACUACAUUGAGAUUUCAUCUCUCUCCAGUGAGAAUGGCAAUAUCAAGGUUAUAAGCAUCAGUAAAGUUGAUGAGGAUGUGGGGGAAAAGGUAAACUCAUACAUUGCUGGUGGGGCUGCAAAUUGGUGUAAUUUGGGAAAGCAGUAUGGAGAUUCCUCAGAAAACUUGGAAUGGAACCAUCAUUUGACCCAGCUACCCCACUCCUUGGUUUAUACCCAAAGGACUUAAGAUCAGAAUACUACAGUGAUGCAGCCACAUCCAUGUUUAUAGCAGCUCAAUUUCCAACAGCUAAACUAUUGAACCAACCUAGAUGGCCUUCAACAGGUGAAUGAAUAAAGAAACUGUGGUGUAUAUACAGAAUAGAAUAUUCCUCUGUCUUAAAGAACAACAAAAUUAUGGCAUUUGCAGAUAAAUGGAUGGAGCUGGAGAAUAUUAUUCUAAGCAAAAUAAGCCAAUCCCAAAGAACCAAAAGCCAAAUAUUUUCUCUGAUAUGUGGAUGUUAAUUCACAAUAAGGGAGGAGGCUCUAGGGGAAAAUAGAGCUACUUUGGAUUAGACAGAUAGAAAUGAAAGGAGGGAGGGGGUAUGGGUGUAGAAAAGAAAGUAGAAUGAAUUGGACAUUAUUACCCUAUGUGCAUAUAUGAUUACAUGACCAGUGCAAAUGUGUAUCAUGUGCAACCAGGAAAAUGAGAAGUUAAAACUCCAUUUAUGUAUCAUGUGUCAAAAUGCAUUCUACUGUAAUGUAUUACUAAUUAAAACAAAAUUUAAAAAUAAAAUAAACCCAUAGUUUUUAAAAUCCCAGAAUUUAUAGUUUUA
rnacentral:lncRNA from 1 species